rnacentral:rRNA from 1 species
AUGCAUGUCUCAGCGCACACGGUCAAAACAGUUGGUCUGUGAAUGGCUCCUUACAUCAGUAGUCAUCUCCGUGAUAGAGUGUGGAUGGUGCCGAUGCCAGGGCACCCAAGGGAUAUCCUCUGCAACCCAGUGGCUAAUACCCGUCUGCCAAGGUCUGCCACACACGGUGUGUCAGCGAUCCUGCUGCCUCAUGGUGGUGGAUUGCGCCCAGCUGCUGUUAAGACCGGCGCCUGGGAAAGGCAGUGUGUUGGUUGACUCAGGCUGGUCCCUUGGGGACACCUGUGCUGGCUGGAGAGUGGCUUGCCACCCAUGCUUGAUCACACGAACUUCUGACCUAUCAGCCUUGACUGUGGUGUAGUGGACCACAGUGGCAAUCACGGGUAACGGAGAAUUUGGGUUCGAUUCCGGAGAGGGAGCCUGAGAGACGGCUACCACUACCAAGGUGGGCAGCAGGCGCGCAAAUUGCCCAAUACAGAAACACACCUGUGAGGCAGCGACGAACUGCAGCAAUUCUGCCAGCAACAUUGUUGGUGGAACUUGGAAUGGAUGCAAUCCAAACACCGUGAUGAGUAUCAACUGGAGGGCAAGUCUGGUGCCAGCAGCUGCGGUAAUUCCAGCUCCAAGGGCGUAUACUGACAUUGCUGCUGUUAAAGCGCUUGUAGUCUGCCACUGGGAUUCAGGUCUGCCAGGUGGCUGGUGGGCUGUGGGCAUGGGCACUGCCUCGCGCAGGGCCCGGCUCGCAGUCUGCUGGAACACAACCCCUGGCAGUAUGCUCCUGAUCCCGUUCCAAGGAUGGUGAGACCUGCUCCCGCAUUGAAGUCUCCUUCAGUGGAGAUCAAGGCAGUGAUGCACCCUACCCUUGCUAGUGACGGUCCUGGGAUGCGGCCCUGUGCCUGCAUAACAAACCCUGUCACACUACAGGAGUCCACCAUCGGUGACACCGUGGAAAACUCAGUGUGCUCAAAGCAACCAGUCCUGGCUGAAUGCCUAUCCAUGGAAUGUCAAAGGAUCGACCAAAUGUGGCCAUUGAGAGUUGUGCCGGGCCUUGGAGCCCAUUGCUGGAGAACCUGGUGUGAUUGUACCCUGGCUCGUUCCCCGAGGGCAUCCUCGUGAUGUUCCCGAAGGGCUUGUCGGUGGUGGCAUGCAUCGACCGGAGACGAGGGGAUCCCUCAGGGUGAAAGAUACUGCAACGCCAGAGGUGAAAUUCUUAGACCGCUGCCUGAUCAACUGCAGCGAAGGCGUUCUGCAAGCCUGUGUCCGUCGAUCAAGAACGAGAGUUUGGGGAGCGAAGAUGAUCAGACACCGUCGUAGUCCAACACUGUAAACCAUGCCAGCUAGGCCCUGGUGGAGCAAGUAACCGGACUCCAUCGGAGCCACCCCCAACGAGAAAUCCCAAGCCUUUGGGUUCAGGGGGGAGUACUGUCGCAAGGCUGAAACUUAAAGGAAUUGACGGAAUGGCACCACAAGGCGUGGAGUAUGCGGCUUAAUUUGACUCAACACGGGGAAUGUUACCAGGUCAGGACGUUGCUUGGAUGGACAGAUUGAGAGCUCUUUCUUGAUCCCUCGGAUGGUGGUGCAUGGCCGCUCCUGAUUGGUGGAGUGAUCUGUCUGGUUGAUUCCGUUAACGAGUGAGAUAUCUGCCUCCCAAUAGCCCCAGUCUCGUGCUUGUAGGGUCUGGACGGUGGGAAAUUCACUCCCUGCUGUGUGGGUUACACCCACGCACGAAAAGGGUUCCCACUCGUCCCCCGAGAGGUCUGGGCCAAGCUUCUCUGAGGUGCUGUGUGCGCCAAGUGCAAGCAUGCCAGAGCCAACAGCAGGUCUGUGAUGCUCCCAGAUGUCCUGGGCCGCACGCGCACUACAUUGAUGCAGUGAAUGUGUUACCCUCCCUGGUGGAGGCCUUGUCCAGAAGUGGAUGGGAAACCCUGCAAGUUUGCACUGUACUGGGGAUAGAUGCUUGCAACUGUCUGCCUUGAACGAGGAAUGCCUAGUAUGCGCAGGUCAUCAGCCUGCACCGAUUGUGUCCCUGCCAUUUGUACACACCGCCCGUCGUUGCUACCGAUGACAGCAGGAUAGAGCCAUCAGGAGGCCAAGGGCUACCUUCGGUGCCCCAGUCGAAAUUGGGCAAUGUCCUGCUGUUAGAGGAAGCAAAA